rnacentral:lncRNA from 1 species
ACUAUAUGUAGCAGCACCAUCACCAACAUUGGUAACAGUCCUGUUAAAUGUGUGAACCAUUGAUCUUGUUUUUUUGUUGUAGAAAGCUAUAAAUGAAGGGUAAUUAAGAUCCAAAGAAGUGUUUUCACAACCAUGAGAACUUGAUCUUGUGAUUGUUAAAAUUUGCCUCUUUGUGAACUUCAAGCCACAAAGGAAAUUAACAUAGUCUUGUGGUGUACAAUCAUAAACUAAACCUGGAUUCAUUGCUCUAUUAGGAUCAAUCUCACCAACCAAUAAUGUUUUCACCAUUUCCCAAAACAAGGCUGCCAAAAGUUCUAUCUGUGGUUCCUGCAGCUACAGUAAGGACCCAAGGGAUACCAUUGUGCAAGGUUCCAUGCUUAGGUCCUGAGUUACCUGCAGAAGAUGAAACAACAAUCCCUUUCUCCAUAGCUGUAAAAGAAGCUAUUGCUAUAGCAUCUUCAUAAAGUGGAAUACCAUCAAUUCCAAUAGAAAUUGAAAUCACGUCAACACCAUCAAUAAUUGCUUGGUCCAUUCCAGCUAAAACAUCAGAAGCCAUAACAUCCUCUUCCCAAAUGACUUUGUACAUAGCAAUCUUAGCUUUUGGUGCAAUGCCUCUUGCUACUCCUUUAGCAUAGCCAAAAUAAGAAGCUCCGUUGACAUAGUUACCUGAAGUCCGAAGCAAACAACUCGAUAGUAAGCUGAGAGUACUAACCAAGAAACUAACAUAAUUUGUUACUAUUUGUCUAUGUAAAAAACAAUAAAAAUAACACAGUUACCUGCAACAGUUGAUGAUGUAUGAGUUCCAUGUCCGAUACUGUCUCUAGCUGAGUUCUUGCUGAUUCCAACAUUUCGAUAGUUACCUGCAAUCACACCUUUAUUGAAAGAUCUUGCUCCAAUCAGUUUGAAGUUGCACACGGAGGCAUUGAAUUUAUGGCCAGUUUCACAUGUUCCUUUCCAUUUGUUUGGAAUUUUCUUUGUCAUGCCAUCAUCUUUAAAGCUUUGACUCUCAGGCCACACACCAGAAUCUAUAACACCAACAAUGAUGUCAUCUCCAAAAUUUGAAGCAUGCCAUAGACCACUUGGAGAAUCUAGGGAGAGAAAUUCAAAGGUGUGAGUUGUGUCAAUGGUUGCUGUUCUAUCUUGAUAUGCUGAAACAAAGCCAUCAAUGUUCUUAAUAAUCUCUAACUCAUUUGAAGAUAACAUUGCACAAAAUCCAUACAUGGCAUUAUCAUAGGUGUACACUAGUUUCUUCUGUGAUUGCUUUGAUGCUUCUUGUUGAUCAUGAUCAUCAAGUACUAGUGUUUUUGAUUUUAAGGAAUGAAUGGUGGAUUUGAACCAAUCAUGAUGAUUUGUGAAGACUUGAGGAAAGAAGGAUUUGUUCAUAUGGAUUAUAUAUGUGGAAGUCUCAGCAUUGCUAUGAAAGGUUAAUAGAAGCCAAAGAGAAAUUAUGAGAAGAAGUGAAAACUCAAAGUUAGGCUCCAUUGAUUAUUUUUGCCAAUAAACAAAGAAAUGUUGUUUUGGCUCUUGAUUCCUCUUAUCAUGCGAUUCUAUAGGAUUUUUAGAGAAUAUAAAUGAUGUUAACAUUCAUGAAUUGUUUAGAAAUUUGAGGAUGAUAUUAAUUCUAAGUGAUUGAACAGAUUUAUUUUGCUUGAGAAUUAUUUCGUUCAAACUAAUCUUUGGUCCUUUAAGCUUUUUAUUUUUGCUCUACAACUUUGGUUAUUUUAGGAAACCAAGAUACAUUUAAUGUUGCUUUUUCCUUUAAUAUCCUUUCAAAAAACCAAAUCCAUGUAUUAAAUGAAUUUGACUUUUACUAAAUGAAUUAAAGGGUAGAAAUGCAUAAACUUAUCUAAAUUUAUUAUUUUUACUGUGUGUCCAAACUUAAUCUUCCUAGGCCGAUUUCAAGUCCGGUAAAAGGAGAGGGUUGUAUUAAGUCUCGACAGCUAACGUAAAACUUUGUCGAAUCUUCAUGAUAUGGAUUUGUAGUAUGUCCAAACCUAAAACACCAACGUUAAGAUGUAAUUUAUGUUUGUUUCAAAAUAUUUUAUUUUCGGAAUCACCCAUCUGAAUUAUCUAACAAAUAUUGCCUAAAAAAAUGGGACAAAGGCUAACUUUCAAAAUGUUAAUUUAUGGCCUUUCAGGAAAAGCAAAUGUCAAUUUGUGAAAGUAGUAAACAACUCAUAAUCCUCAGAUGAAUAGAAACAACACAUAAGUUAACUUUGAGAAGGUAAUAUGUACAAGUAAGAAAUAGAAAUUAAAUAUACUCACAAGUUGUAGAAAGAUGUUUUCGAAAAAGAAAUAAUAAAAAUCCGGAUCCUCCAUAUCCGGCUUUAUGGCGCACAUUCGAUCAAGAGAGGAAAAUAACUCUUCAUGACCGGUUGCAUCAUAAGCCAGGUCGAAGAGAAUCCAAUUUGAAAAAGAGACAAAUAAUUCACCCACAGAAAAGAAGCUCCCAUAUAAUAUGGCAAAGACUAUCGUGAAAUCCCAUUAUGAACCAGCAUCUCACGCUACAAAAUAAUUGACAUCUAGUAACACUUGAAAACUGUUACUAAAUCAAGAAAAAUGUUACUGAUUAUAUUUAGUAACAUUUGAACAAUUGUUAGGAAAAGCCCAUGUUACUAAAGAGCUUUAGUUACAUUUUAUAGUAUUAUUUUUAACAUUCAAAAAGUGUCUUUUUGAAUGAAAUCAGCCCAGUAACAUUUGAAUGAAAAGAGCUUUAGUUACUAAAGAGCCUUAAUCCCAUAUCUAGUUUACUUAACUGAUUAACUCAGAAAUCAAAGUUUAGGAAUGAAAUUUAUAAAUUUCUAAAUAAGCUUAUGAUGGUUCUCCAAUGAGGUUAUAACUAGUAGUUAAAGAACAAAAAACAUGAAGAUGUAGAAUUAGUUUGUGAAAAUAAAAAACCAAGAUAAUGACAACCAAACACAUCAUAAGGUUGCAUUUGAAUGAGUGUUUUUAAAGAGUGUAAGAAAAGUACACAAUAUUGCAUAUCAUGUCAUUGCAGAAGGUGCAGAAAAAUGAGGGGAAAAAACACUUGAAAGCUCAUAUAAUUCCCCUUGGUGCCACUACAAUAGGACUUCUAACAGUGUGUGCUCCACCAUAUUCAAUCCAAACAAGAUCCCCAAAUGAAACAUUAUCCUUCUUGUACAUGACACACUUUAUGACAAGGGAGUAACUUUGUUUCUCAUUUCUAUAUUUGAAAGUUAAUAUAUCAGGUAACACUGUCAUCACACAACCUUUUGGAUGUGUCACAUUAGCACUAUAUGUAGCAGCACCAUCACCAACAUUGGUAACAGUCCUGUUAAAUGUGUGAACCAUUGAUCUUGUUUUUUUGUUGUAGAAAGCUAUAAAUGAAGGGUAAUUAAGAUCCAAAGAAGGGUUUUCACAACCAUAAGAACUUGAUCUUGUGAUCGUUAAAAUUUGAUUCUUUGUGAACUUCAAACCACAAAGGAAAUU